rnacentral:rRNA from 1 species
UACGAAGGGGGCGAGCGUUGUUCGGAAUUACUGGGCGUAAAGGGCGCGCAGGCGGCCUUAGAAGUCAGAUGUGAAAGCCCCGGGCUCAACCUGGGAAUGGCAUUUGAUACUCUGAGGCUGGAGUACGGGAGAGGAGAGUGGAAUUCCCAGUGUAGAGGUGAAAUUCGUAGAUAUUGGGAAGAACACCGGUGGCGAAGGCGGCUCUCUGGACCGUAACUGACGCUGAGGCG